GGGCGGGGACUCCAAGAAGAGCCAAUUGGAUGUGGAUCCCGGGGUCCCGCCCCGCCUCCUCCGGCUUUGGCACGCCCGCCUCCCCGCGCACGCGCACUCAGGCCCUAGGCCGAGCACUGCGGCUGGAAGACGGCUUAGGCGAAGCGUGGCAGGGCGAUUACCUGAGGGCCGGGUGGGCUGCACACGCUGCUGCUGGCGGCAGAGCAGCACCGCAGUGAGGAGAUAACGCAAGAGAAAGCAGCUUAAAGGAAGCUGCCCAGAGAUGCGGCUGCAGCGUACGCGGGUAGUCCUGCUGGCAGUCUGCCCUUAUUUGCAGCUUUGAGCUAGUGCAAAGCAACUCCCUGGCGCUUGGAAAUUUUUGUUUGUUGCCUGAAGCGAGGGGAAGGGAGAAUAGUACCUUAGAAUAAGUAUUCAUAAAAUUUAAAGUUAACGGCCGACUGGGCGCGCAGACUUCGUUUUUCCUACACUCAGCUACUGCUGGGUGUCUUUGCUUCAUUUGGUCAACACAAAACUGCAGCUCUUGAUGCCGCGCUGUCUAUUUCCACUGGUUGGGUAGUGGUAAGGGAGUUCUAGCCCGGGCAUUUCUACGGACAAUCUGGAGCGAACUAGUGCAAGGAUUUGAUUGCCUAUACUUCACCUUAGAAAAGUAAUUACACAUCACAGCCUACCUUCAGUUCUCCAGAUAACCUAAGAUGCAUUCAUUCUACAGAGAGAGAGCUGAAGAAAUGGAGAGAGAGAGAACUCUAUCCAAGUCUCCCUUGGGUAGCAGGAUCCCAAGCACCUGAGCCAUCAUCUGCUGCUUCCCUGGGUGUGUGUUAGCAGGAAGCUGGAUGUGGAUAUCCCAAGUGGUGUCAACCACUGCAGUAAACACCCACCCUUCAAAUGCAGUUUUAAACUCAUUCUGAUAAUAUUAUUCAAGUGCCAACUAGAUUGUGAGUUUCUUGAAAAUAAAGCCUGAUGGAAAGCCAAGACACUGUGGCAAAAAAAAAAAAAAAAAAAAAAAAAAAAAAAAAAAAAAAACACCUAAAUCCUAAAUCCUAAAUGAAAGAUCUCUGUGAGUGAGAUCCCAGCAAAAAGAACGGGCCAUCAAAGAAGGAGGUACCUUUCUCUGAAGGGAGAAGAGAACUUCCACUUUGACUAUGGCCUUGUCUAAAUAAGAUUGGAGUUGGUGAACUCAAGAGGCUUCCAUAGCCUUGGCAGCUCAUGACAAGAGCCUAGGGUGAUUACUGAUGUCAUAAAUAAGAGUGUCAAUUGUUAAAUCAACAACAGGAGUCACUGUGCACCUACUCCCCAUGUAGGUUCUCUGUCUUUAAUGUGUCGUACUAUGUGAUAUAACUAGUACUCAAACAGUACUUUAUACUUUGUGAGUCUGUGUGGGUGCAAACUCUUGAAAUCUUUACUUACUAUAUAUUAAAUUGAUCUGUAUAUAAAGAUAAUUGAAAAUGAAUCUCGAUGUGAAUGGAAUGGGAGAGGGAGCGGGAGAUGGGAUGGUUGCAGGUGAGAGGGAGGUUAUAGGGUUUUAGAAAAAGCCACUGUAAUCCAAAAGCUGUACUUUGGAAAUUUGUAUUUAUUAAAUAAAAGUUAAAAAAAUAAAUAGAGCCUGCUUCUUAGAAUGGUUUACGAUGCAAAAUGUUUAAUAAAAUACUCAAUGAAUGAUUAAGGAUAAAUGAUAGAAGGGAGGAUUACAAAUCUAG